rnacentral:rRNA from 1 species
GACGAACGCUGGCGGCGUGCUUAACACAUGCAAGUCGAACGGAAAGGCCCUGCUUGCAGGGUACUCGAGUGGCGAACGGGUGAGUAACACGUGGGUGAUCUGCCCUGCACUUCGGGAUAAGCCUGGGAAACUGGGUCUAUUACCGGAUAGGAGCCAUUUUUAGUGUGAUGGUUGGAAAGUUUUUUCGGUGUAGGAUGAGCUCGCGGCCUAUCAGCUUGUUGGUGGGGUAAUGGCCUACCAAGGCGGCGACGGGUAGCCGGCCUGAGAGGGUGGACGGCCACAUUGAGACUGAGAUACGGCCCAGACUCCUACGGGGGGCAGAAGUGGGGAAUAUUGCACAAUGGGCGCAAGCCUGAUGCAGCGACGCCGCGUGGGGGAUGACGGCCUUCGGGUUGUAGACUCCUUGCGCUAGGGACGAAGCUUUUUGUGACGGUACCUAGAUAAGAAGCACCGGCUAACUACGUG